rnacentral:lncRNA from 1 species
CGAGGGGCAUCGAUGUGAUCAGCGAUGAGGGAAAGGGAGGGGGGAUAGGGUUGGCGACAUAGUCAGGGAUAAGAAAGAGCUCAAUGUCAGGUGGAGAGGUAGUCAAGGGAGAAGUAGAAGAAAAUAAAGUGGGGAUGGAGCUGUGGACGCAUCCGGAGAUGAGAGGAUAGCUCAGCAUCAGGCAGAGAGAUAGUCAGUGAGGCCCAAGAAGCUGAUAUGGUUGGGC